rnacentral:snRNA from 1 species
GGUUGUGAGCAUGCUCCAGCUAGGAUGUCUGUGACCUCAUUGAUCAUCAGGGCUGAUUUGGUUGAUCUGGCUGGUUAUGCAUGUGUCCCUGUUUUCUCUCACUAUUUCACGUAUAUCCUUCUCAAAACUGUUUUAGACCAAAGACAAUAAGUUUCCCCAACAGAAGAAAGCUAUUCUUUAGCUAAGAGUACAUGAGCAGCUGAGCUCACUACUAGAACUUUCAGAUAAUACUCAAGGUCAUCCUCAGAACAAUAUCAGCCUGUCACACAUCCAAGAGCCUAGUCAUUCCCAAGUGAGGCACUAUGUACAUCACUCUU